rnacentral:rRNA from 1 species
UACAGAGGUCUCAAGCGUUGUUCGGAUUCAUUGGGCGUAAAGGGUGCGUAGGCGGCGCGGUAAGUCGGGUGUGAAAUCUCGGGGCUUAACUCCGAAACUGCAUUCGAUACUGCCGUGCUUGAGGACUGGAGAGGAGACUGGAAUUUACGGUGUAGCGGUGAAAUGCGCAGAUAUCAGGAGGAACACCGGUGGCGAAGGCGGUGGUCUGGGCCGGAACUGACGCUGAGGAGCGAAAGCGUGGGGAGCGAACAGG